rnacentral:rRNA from 1 species
UGAGUUUGAUCAUGGUUCAGAAUGAACGCUGGCGGCGUGCUUAACACAUGCAAGUCGUACGAGAAAUCUUCUGCUUGCAGAGGAGAGUAAAGUGGCGCACGGGUGAGUAACGCGUGGGUAAUCUUCCUCCAAAUCUGGAAUAACGUGCCGAAAGGCGUGCUAAUACCGGAUGACAUCCUUCGGUUCUCGAACCGAGGAAUUAAAGGUGGCCAAUACUUGUAAGCUACUGUUUGGAGAUGAGCCCGCGUACCAUUAGCUUGUUGGUGAGGUAACGGCUCACCAAGGCGACGAUGGUUAGCUGGUCUGAGAGGAUGAUCAGCCACACUGGAACUGACACACGGUCCAGACUCCUACGGGAGGCAGCAGUGAGGAAUUUUGCGCAAUGGGGGAAACCCUGACGCAGCAACGCCGCGUGAGUGAUGAAGGCCUUCGGGUCGUAAAGCUCUGUCGAGUGGGAAGAACUGGCCUUGAUUUAAUACAUCAAGUGCCUUGACGGUACCACUAAAGGAAGCACCGGCUAACUCCGAGCCAGCAGCCGCGGUAAUACGGGGGGUGCAAGCGUUAUUCGGAUUUACUGGGCGUAAAGAGCGCGU